ACGUUGAAGUUACGUGAAAAACCAUAUAGUAUUUUUCCACUAGGUUUUUUCAUGUAGCUUUUAUGUGUUUUGAAACGUAACUUCAACGAGACUCGAGUGCGCAAUUCGGCCAAAUAUCUACGUGAUUAUUUUAGUGUGAAAAUUGAGUGCGUCCAGUUAAGACGUGCUGUCGGAUAUGUGUCCGUAAUAUUUGAUUGCAAUUGAACGAAUCCGAUCCUUGUGAGCAGCAUCAUUUUCCGGUAGCCAGUGAAAUGUUAGCCCCGUUUUUACAUUAGUGGCCGGAGCUACCGUGGUGUUUGACGCCACCGAAAAUAUCACGGACAUGGCCAGUUCAUGUACGCGGUUGUGUUCGGGUUGGACCUUUUCGUAGCGUAUCGCAAGCUGGGCAUCAACUCGAGUUCGACGACGUAAGCCCAAACAACACGACCAUCUACGACAACGAUUUCGAAACGGGUUCCCGUGCGACCAUGGUGGCCGGUGGAAUCAGCUAGCGUCGAUUGAACAUCCUCCUGCUCGGCCACAUUAGCGAUGUGGCCAAACGCAACGCAGCCGAACUGGAGCAGCACUCAAACGUGGUUCCCUGGACAUCAGUCUGCUGCGAUCGAUCGAUGAUCGCUGGUGCACAAAGAUAGGAGCAUCGACAUGGCAGAAGGCUAGGCAGAAGGUCACCCGCGAUCUUUUUGAAUAAGUGGCAAAAAGUGAAAUCACCCCGAAGAAAUUUAUAGUUAAUAAAGGAAAUGAGCUUUAACAAUUACUCCUUAUUUCUUCUUAUUUCCAUUCGAAAAAAAAUAAAUACUACAACCAUAAAAAUCAAAUAAUGUUUACUACAGAGCACGUAGAAUUCAUCAAUCGAUGCAUAUAGCUUCUACGUGUGAAACACGUAGAAACAAUGUGAAAUGAUCUGGCCAAGCAUAUUCCGUUUCUACUAGAGCCACCUCGUAGAAGUUACGUGAAAAGUUUAGUGGAAAAAUACCACAUAGCUUUUCACGUAACUUCAACGUGAAUAUUUUUUUGAGUGUAAGCUAAUCUAAAGUUGAGAUAUGGAGACGAGUGGAGAGAAAGUGAGUGUGAUUGCGCGGGGAGAAUCCUUCGAAAGGGAAAGGAAGAGCAUCGACGGAAACUGAACUCAAGAAGCGAAAGCAAACAAUAUGCAAAAGAAGAAGAGAGUUUUAAAUUAUGUCUAGUAAAGUGAGAAGAGGAAGAAGCUGAUGAAAACAAGAGGAGAAAAACUAAGAAAUAGAUGCAUAUUAGCAUGUAGAUGAUUACAUUCUCUGUGAUUAGAAAAUACGAAAACGAAAUAAAAACCGAAAAAUGUGAAAAUCCUACUAUAAAAAUCAUUUUUUUGAUUUAUUGUAACUAUAAUUUAAUAAAGUUCAAUUCAUUCUAGUUGUGGAAGAAGUGAAAAGCGUUGGUUUAAUAAAAUAAAUGAAAAUAUAUGAACGACAUGAUUAUGCAACAUAAAAAACACACACACACACAUGAUUUACUAUAGUUUUAAAAUGAACAUUUAAAUAAGUUAUGAUCCACAUGCUGAUUAAUAGAUUUUAAUCAUUUAAACUUACAAGCUUCUUACCGAUAUGAAACUGUUGAAAACUAAACCUGUAGAGGAGGAAAACACUCAAAAAAAGUUUUAAAUGCUAGUUGGUUUGUGUCUAGAAUAAAGAAAAACCAAGAAAAAAAUAGCAGUUUUGUUUUUUACUUUUAUAAUUCGAACGCUCUCUGACUUUUCAAAACUCCCCUUCUCGAACCUUCGACAAGCAAAAUUCCAAAUUAAAAAUUAAAAAAAAACUCUUCGAAACGUCCCCCAAAACCGACCCCGAACCGAAGCCAAUCCUCGAACCCUUGUUUUAAACUUGGUCGAUAAGAUUUGACAGCCAGACGUCACACACCGUCGGUCGCAGCCUCUCUCUCUGCCUUCUUUUAGAUCGAAUUCACAAGAACUCCAAGAGACGAGAGGAUUCUCCCCAACCUCCCAUUUUGUUUUGUUCAAGCUCAACCCAAUACUGACUCACUGGCCCCUUAAUUCGACCCCAUGGUUGGGCACGACUGCGACGCCACCGCCAUCUUGUGUGACUGUCAAUGGCCAGCCGCCAUCUUGUUUUUUUGUUAAAUUCGAUCCGUUCCCCAAAAGACAGCGUUCUCGGAAGAUUUCAACGAUCAUUGCACACACAAACCAACCAAACAGUUUUGCAUUCCUAAUGACUUAAGAUUUUGUACGAAAGAGAGAGAGAGAGAGAAAACCAUCAAAAAAACAAAACGAAACCAAUCAAUUUGUCGUUCAAAGCUAUUCUAUUUAAUUGCAAUGAAAGGAAAAAAAAUCACAAAACAAACAUAACCUGUAAUCGAUAAACAAAACAUACGAAAAAAGAAAGAAUAACAAACGAAACUUUUACUACAUUCAACCCUAUGACUGUCAAAUAUAAAUAAUAAUGGAAACACACAAAAACAAAAACCAACAAAAUCUAUCAAAUGCUACAAGCAACUUAAUGAAAUGAAUGUCGAUAAAGCAAAUUUCUGUGUUAUACAAACAAACAAAAAAAAAAACAAGAAUUAUAUUACCGGAAGCGUCCUCAAUCAGCAGAUACAUUAUCUAUUACACACACACACUUACAAACAGAUAACGUGACAAAAGAAGCAACAGGUUUUAUCGGUACCAUUAAAAGAUAAUCCAUAGCUUGAAGUGAGCAACAUUACCGAGAAAAAAUAUGAACAUAAGUAAAUAAACAAAACAUACACCGUGUAUUACUCUCUAAACUACCGUGUAUAUCAGUGAGUUGGAUCAAAAAAACGCAAGAAAGGAAAAAAGAGAAAUCAAACAAAAAAUAAAUAAAUCUUAUACACAAUUAAAACAGAAAAACAAAAACAAAACAAAAAAAUAUAUCGAGGGACACAUCUUUUGACAGAUCUGUCGGGCGACAGUUGUUGGCUGUUGUGUUGUAGCGUUGCAGCGCGCGAGAACGGAAUUUUGUUUGUUGAGUUUGUGAAAGUUUUGCGAAGAUUGUUAACAGAAGAAGAAGAAGGAUAAGGCAACACAGCACACACACAAUACGAGAGAAAGAGAGAUGGAGAGAAUCACCUAAAAUUACCACUGAAAUAUGAUGGGAAUCAAAAGAUGUGUUCGUAUGCAAAAAAAAAUGUAAGUUUAUGAAAAAAAUAUGAAUGAAAGAAUGUGUCAUGUAAUGAGUAACUUAAUUUACGAUAUGUGAAAUAAAGUGAAUAAUAAAGAUUUUUUGCUGAAUGAUUACAAAUAAAAAUCAUAAAAUC